GACGAACGCUGGCGGCGUGCCUAACUCAUGCAAGUUGAACGGAAAGGCCCCCUUGGGUGUACUCGAGUGGCGAACGCGUGAGUAACACGCGCGUAACCUGCCCUUGACUUCGGGCUAACUUCAGGAAACUGGCGCUAAUACCGGAUAGGAAUCCUUGCUGCAUGGUCGGGGUUGGAAAGCUUCGGGGGUUUUGGCUGGACUCGCGGCUUAUCAGCUUGUUGGUGGGGUAGUGGCUUACCAAGGCUUUGACGGGUAGCCGGCCUGUGAGGGCGACCGGCCACACUGGGACUGAGGUACGGCACAGACUCCAGCGGGGGGCAGCGGUGGUGAAUGUUGCACAAUGGGCACAUGCCCGAUGCAGCAACGGCACGUGCGGGAUGACAGACUUCGGGAUGUAGGCCGCUUACUGGAGGUAGGGAGCAUGUGGUGACGGUACCUGCAGAAGGGGCACCGGCUAGAUACAUG
rnacentral:rRNA from 1 species